GUGGGAAAGCAGGUGGGAGCAGUGGGGCAGUGCUGGCCCAGCUGGGGGCUGCUGGCACGCAGGGAAUGUGCUGCUUCACCAGCAGCCUGGCUGCUCUGGCAGGGGAUAAAUGGGACAACUGGGUCAGCUCAGCUCAGCGCCGGCAGAUGCUCAAGAGUUGCCAUGUGUGGAGGAAACCCAUGUGGGGCACGCAGACAGAGUAAGGAGCACACAGCUGGGAGGAGCUGGAGCACAGGCAUGGCGGCAGCACCCAGGCCCUCUUGGACUCAUGGCAGCACCCAAGGCACGGGGGGAAGGCACGCAGCACCUCGUUAUCAGCCUGCCAGGGCCGAACAGGACGGCUGCAGAGCCACAGGCUGCAAAGCGACCUAAUGUGGGAACGCGCAGCAAGUCCAUGACCAACAUGCUGCUGUGGUGCUGCAGCUCAGCACAUCUGGACAGCUGCCUCAUGCCUGGAGGUUUGCAAGAAUGGGAGAAAUUCUACUUACGUGGGUGCCAGUGGCGAGCAUUCCCCCAAACCCAGCAGGAGGGGCUGGAAGGGCAGACUGAAGGAUCACCAUAA
rnacentral:lncRNA from 1 species